rnacentral:rRNA from 1 species
CUGUUGGUGCUGAUAUGGGCAAAUUGCCCCCGUAACUUCGGGAGAAGGGGGGCCAUGCCCGGUGAUCCACCUUGCGUGGUGAGCGGGGUGUGGCCGCAGAUACCAGGGGGAAGCGACUGUUUACUAAAAACACAGGUCCGUGCGAAGUCGUAAGACGCUGUAUACGGACUGACGCCUGCCCGGUGCCGGAACGUUAAGAGGACCGGUCAACCCUCACGGGUGAAGCUGAGAAUCUAAGCGCCGGUAAACGGCGGUGGUAACUAUAACCAUCCUAAGGUAGCGAAAUUCCUUGUCGGGUAAGUUCCGACCUGCACGAAUGGCGUAACGACCUCCCCACUGUCUCAACCACAGACCCGGCGAAAUUGCAGUACGAGUAAAGAUGCUCGUUUCGCGCAGCAGGACGGAAAGACCCCGGGACCUUCACUACAGCUUGGCAUUGGCGUUUGGAGCGUCUUGUGUAGGAUAGGUGGGAGACUGUGAAGCUCACACGCCAGUGUGGGUGGAGUCAUUGGUGAAAUACCACUCUGGUCGUUUCGAGCGUCUAACCCGCACCCGUGAAUCCGGGUGGGGGACAGUGCCUGGUGGGUAGUUUAACUGGGGCGGUUGCCUCCUAAAAGGUAACGGAGGCGCCCAAAGGUUCCCUCAGCCUGGUUGGUAAUCAGGUGGCGAGUGCAAGGGCACAAGGGAGCUUGACUGUGAGACGGACAUGUCGAGCAGGUGCGAAAGCAGGGCCUAGUGAUCCGGCGGUGGCAUGUGGAAGCGCCGUCGCUCAACGGCUAAAAGGUACCCCGGGGAUAACAGGCUGAUCUUCCCCAAGAGUCCAUAUCGACGGGAUGGUUUGGCACCUCGAUGUCGGCUCGUCGCAUCCUGGGGCUGGAGUAGGUCCCAAGGGUUGGGCUGUUCGCCCAUUAAAGCGGCACGCGAGCUGGGUUUAGAACGUCGCGAGACAGUUCGGUCCCUAUCCGCUGCGCGCGCAGGAGAUUUGAGAGGGUCUGUCCCCCUACGAGAGGACCGGGACGGACGAACCUCUGGUGUGCCAGUUGUCAUGCCAAUGGCACGGCUGGUUGGCUACGUUCGGACGGGAUAACCGCUGAAAGCAUCUAAGCGGGAAGCCUUCCUCGAGAUGAGAUCUCCCACCCCCAUGAGGGGUGUAAGGCCCCCAGCUAGACCACUGGGUUGAUAGGCCAGAAAUGGAAGCACCGUAAGGUGUGGAGUUGACUGGUACUAAUAGGCCGAGCGGCUUGA